rnacentral:rRNA from 1 species
UACGGAGGGCGCGAGCGUUGUCCGGAAUCAUUGGGCGUAAAGGGCGCGUAGAUGGCCCGGUCAGUUCGUGGUGAAAGCGCGGGGCUCAACCCCGCGUCGGCCAGGAAUACUGCGGGGCUGGAGCACUGUAGAGGCAGGCGGAAUUCCGGGUGUAGCGGUGGAAUGCGUAGAGAUCCGGAAGAACACCGGUGGCGAAGGCGGCCUGCUGGGCAGUUGCUGACACUGAGGCGCGACAGCGUGGGGAGCAAACAGGAUUAGAAACCC